rnacentral:tRNA from 1 species
GCGCCGGUGGUGUAAAGGCGUAGAGCAUUCCCGCCCGGUCAGAGGGAGGUGCGGGUUCGAGUCCCGCCGGGCGCU